UACGUAGGGUGCAAGCGUUGUCCGGAAUUAUUGGGCGUAAAGAGCUCGUAGGCGGUCUGUCACGUCGGCUGUGAAAACCUGGGGCUCAACUCCGGGCCUGCAGCCGAUACGGGCAGACUAGAGUUCGGCAGGGGAGACUGGAAUUCCUGGUGUAGCGGUGAAAUGCGCAGAUAUCAGGAGGAACACCAACGGCGAAGGCAGCUCGCUGGGACGGAACUGACGCUGAGGCGCGAAAGCGUGGGGAGCGAACAGG
rnacentral:rRNA from 1 species